GAUGAACGCUGGCGGCGUGCUUAACACAUGCAAGUCGAACGAAGCGCUUGAAUGGAAUUCUUCGGAAGGAAGCUCAAGUGACUGAGUGGCGGACGGGUGAGUAACGCGUGGGUAACCUGCCUCAUACAGGGGGAUAACAGUUAGAAAUGACUGCUAAUACCGCAUAAGCACACGUGAUCGCAUGAUCGAGUGUGAAAAACUCCGGUGGUAUGAGAUGGACCCGCGUCUGAUUAGCUAGUUGGUGGGGUAACGGCCCACCAAGGCGACGAUCAGUAGCCGGCCUGAGAGGGUGAACGGCCACAUUGGGACUGAGACACGGCCCAAACUCCUACGGGAGGCAGCAGUGGGGAAUAUUGCACAAUGGGGGAAACCCUGAUGCAGCGACGCCGCGUGAAGGAUGAAGUAUUUCGGUAUGUAAACUUCUAUCAGCCGGGAAGAAAAUGACGGUACCUGACUAAGAAGCCCCGGCUAACUACGUGCCAGCAGCCGCGGUAAUACGUAGGGGGCAAGCGUUAUCCGGAUUUACUGGGUGUAAAGGGAGCGUAGACGGCAGUGCAAGUCUGAAGUGAAAGCCCGGGGCUCAACCCCGGGACUGCUUUGGAAACUGUGCAGCUAGAGUGUCGGAGAGGCAAGCGGAAUUCCUAGUGUAGCGGUGAAAUGCGUAGAUAUUAGGAGGAACACCAGUGGCGAAGGCGGCUUGCUGGACGAUGACUGACGUUGAGGCUCGAAAGCGUGGGGAGCAAACAGG
rnacentral:rRNA from 1 species